rnacentral:rRNA from 1 species
CCCUUAGAUGUUCUGGGCUGCACGCGCGCUACACUGGUGCGUUCAGCGAGUUUAGCACCUUAACAGAUAUGUUUGGGUAAUCUUCUGAAAACGCACCGUGAUGGGGAUCGAUUAUUGUAAUUAUUAAUCGUCAACGAGGAAUUCCUAGUAAGUGUGAAUCAUCAGUUCGCGCUGAUUACGUCCCUGCCCUUUGUACACACCGCCCGUCGCACCUACCGAUUGGAUGGUCCGGUGAAGCCUCGGGAUUGUGGUUCUUGCCGCUUUAUUGUGGCGUGACCGCGAGAACUUGUCUAAACCUUAUCAUCUAGAGGAAGGUGAAGUCGUAACA